UGGAGGUCUGCAACCCGACUCCACGAAGUUGGAUUCGCUAGUAAUCGCGCAUCAGCCAUGGCGCGGUGAAUACGUUCCCGGGCCUUGUACACACCGCCCGUCAAGCCAUGGGAGCCGGGGGCGCCUGAAGUCCGGGACCGCGAGGACCGGCCUAGGGCGAAACUGGUAACUGGGGCUAAGUCGUAACAAGGUAGC
rnacentral:rRNA from 1 species